AAUGUACCUUUCUUGGCUGAUCCCUUUCGCUGUAUGGCGUGCUCGUUUGGGUUGGGCGUCGGCUAAGAGUGCUCGAAGCGUGGAUUAACUCCAGUCUCCUAUCAGGCGAUUGAUUUUGGAAACGUUUCAACUUCAACCCAUAACAGAUCUAUUUUCUACGCACGUUUAAGUUGGAUUCACAACGGAUAUGGGGUAGGAAGGUAUUUGGAACGUUCUUCAAUAAGUAGAUCUCUUGUGAGGAUUAAAGGCUACCGAUUGAGGAGUGUGUGAAAAGCUUGGAUCAUCGGAGUGACUAAAUCUAGUCAUCAACUUCGGCAAAGGAGAAAUCGCAUAGGAGAUCUCGUCAAGGAAUAUCGCAAAUCAGGUGAGCCUUGAUGUGGGGACUUGGGCCGGAGGGGAUUCAGAAUGGCCAC